ACGGGGUGCAGCAGGCGCGAAACCUUUGCAAUGUGCGAAAGCACGACAAGGUUAAUCCGAGUGUCUCCCGCUAAGGGAGUCUUUUGUCGGUUCUAGAACCACUGGUGAAUAAGGGGUGGGCAAGUUCUGGUGUCAGCCGCCGCGGUAAAACCAGCACCUCGAGUGGUCAGGAGGUUUAUCGGGCCUAAAGCAUCCGUAGCCGGUUGCAUAAGUUUUCGGUUAAAUCUAUGCGCUCAACGUAUAGGCCGCCGAAAAUACUGUGCAGCUAGGGAGUGGGAGAGGUACACGGUACUCGGUAGGAAGGGGUAAAAUCCUUUGAUCUAUUGAUGACCACCUGUGGCGAAGGCGGUCUACCAGAACACGGUCGACGGUGAGGGAUGAAAGCUGGGGGAGCAAACCGGAUUAGAUACCCGGGUAGUCCCAGCUGUAAACGAUGCAGACUCGGUGAUGCAUUGGCUUGUGGCCAAUGCAGUGCCGCAGGGAAGCCGUUAAGUCUGCCGCCUGGGAAGUACGUACGCAAGUAUGAAACUUAAAGGAAUUGGCGGGUGAGCAC
rnacentral:rRNA from 2 species